AAAACAUUUGGGAAAGUGGCAUAGAGAGCUGAAGUUUGGACUAGUUCUGUGCUGGGAGCAACUUCUGUUGAACUGUACAGUCAGAAUCCCUGAUGCUGAACUCUUGCUGGAUUGGACUAUGCUUUGGAAGAUGCUCACCCAGCAAGUCCUGCCCAGCUGAUUUUCCCAUGGUGACAAGCAGCUUUGGCUUCUUAAUUUAAAGAGGAA
rnacentral:lncRNA from 11 species